rnacentral:lncRNA from 1 species
GUCAACGUGGGGUCUCUUCCUCUCGUCGCCGUCUUCCUCCAACCAUGAGCUCGGCCACCACCACCACCACUGCUCACGCAGCCUGAGCCAACCGAUAAAUCCAUGAGGUCUUGAGCCGCCUAGGAAAUCGGAGCCGCUUGCAGAGGAGGAGAUCUGAGCCGUUCACAGAGGAAGAGGGGAGGAGAAUCUGAGUAUGUGCUUGUUGAGUAAUGUCAUUUUGUUCUCAAACCGAACUAAAGAAAGUCUAGUUACCAAGAGUUGUGAGGUUAAGAAGUUGGUCUAAUAGGUGAUGUAGUUGUUGUUUAAGUUGCUUGUGAAAGUAGACUACUAAGUAAGGCCAUUAGAGUAGUGUUAGUGGGAGUUGGUGAAAAAACCCAUCUCUGCUAUUGUGUUAAAAGAGACAGACGUGAGAAUGUAUGAGAAGUGAAGCAUUUUGUAUCAGAAACUGAGGAAAGAGAAUCUGAGUUACAAGAUCAAAUGUUACCUUUAAAAUUUUGUUUUGUCAAAGAAACGAAGUAAGACAAGAAGGUAUCAGAGUGGUGGAUGUCUGGAGCCACUUCAACCGUGAGAGAGAGAGCAGAAGGUUCUGCAAAAUUGAAGAACAAGGUUGAGGUCAGAGAAACCAAGGCUACAGUUAAUGAAACCAAGGUGAACAAGAUGGUGGUUCAAGAAGAAAACCACAUGCUUAAUGCAAGACACGAAGACCAAAAAGGAGGCAAAGAAAAUGAAUGGCUAAUUGACAGCGGUUGUACAAGUCAUAUGACACCUUAUGAGAAGUUAUUCACAAGACUCAACACAAACAUCAAAGUUCCAAUUCAAGU